GAGGAAGGCAUUUCUACAGCUUAUGCCUAAAACACAGCGCCUGGAGUAGUAGCUUGAAUGUUUCUGGACUCAAGGAAUCUCAGAAGUAGACCUACAGGGAGGCAAGAUAGUUUCUCACUGCCUGUUCUAUCACCAUGGAUGGCAUUAUCUCAGUGUGGGCUACUGAACGCUGGUGAUAUCUAGGCAGAAUCCAGGAACUCAGUAAGUCGAGGAACAGAGGCCUCUCACGAGGGAAGACAGUAUCGUUUUAUACUUGUGGAAAUGGCCACAAUCCUAUUCAUCUUACAGUUAUGGAGGACAGCCAUCCACAACAACUUUCCUGGGUUUAACAUGAAGAGAAGUUUUGCUUCAAGUCUUUCGUGGAAACCUCCAUGGAAAGGUUGUUUGUAGCAAGCUCGCUGCUCUCAGGGAUCCUGCUUUGAUGGAUUAUAAAUAGAGAAGGCAUAUAAUGGAACUACUGUCCCUGCAUGGACAAAAGGAACUGGUUUACAGGUGUGACCGCGACAGCAAUGCAUCAUGGAGCAAGCAGAGGUGAACCUUUGACUGAUCCUUAACCUGCUGGUGCCUUGAUCCUGGACUUGUCAACUCCCAGAACUGUGGAAAAUAAGUGCUUAUCAUUUAAUCUGUUACCCAGUCUCUAGAACUAUGAUAUAACUUUGACAGCCUACCUAACUCAUUAAGAGAGUUGUCAAGUCUUUAAAUAUCUGUCUGUCUGUCUCCCUAUCUAUUUAAUGACAUGCUAUGUAGCCCUGGCCUGGAACCAUGGAAACCAGGCUGGCCUCAAUAAAUCAAUGAUUAUACCCGUAAGUUA
rnacentral:lncRNA from 1 species